GGUUGCUCUGUUAGCCUGGAUCCCAGAGGAAGGACAAUGUCGCCUCGAGCCCUCAGCCACUUGGUGAUGGAUAGGUAGUGUAAGUGAGAAAUAUACCUUGUUUUUCAGUGACUGAGCUUUUGGGGUUGUUACUGCAGCAUAAAGUAGCCUAUCCUGACUGAAACAGAAGGUACAACCCUCUCCCCCUCAUCGUCUUCCCCUCAACUCUAAUACCAGGGGUGUCCCAAUGUGGGGGGCAGGGACAGUAAGUGUCUGAAGAGAGGGAGGCCCCAUCAGGCUCCUGGGGUGGCCUGGGUUCCCUGAGCUAUGGAGAACUUGAGUGUGUGUUAAACCAGCUCACUGGUUGGGUUGGACUUUGAAGACACCCAAGGACCAGAGGUCAACUCCAGGGCAGCCAUAGAGACUGCAGACCCUGACCUAGUGCACUGCUGGGGGUCAGGAGGUGCUGAGAGUGGGGGUACAGGCUCCCCAAAGCUUCCUUAGUGCUGUGCUAUGCACACCCUGGGUUGUUUGGUCCUCUUUCGUGUUUGAGCAGGUGACGUGGGAUUGCUGUGUGGCUAUUGGGAGAGAAGGUGGAGAGGCAAGAAGAGUAGGUGGCCCACUUCUGACUGACAUUUCCCCACAGCCUCUUGGCUCCUGCCACGUUCUCGUGUUCUCAGCUUCACAGCUCCUCGGACCUCACUCACUGCCUCCUAUCGGAUGCCCACUCUCUUGGCAGCAGCCGCCUUCAGCUCACCUAGCAUCCUGGAUAUCUUGCUGUUGUUCUCCCUCUGCCUGCGUUCAGCCAGGGGAGCGGGGUGGUGGUAGGUGUCUCUUCAAAACUGACGUGCUGCUUGUGUUACCAGCCUGCAUUAUUAACAAAAGCUCCUUGACAUUGGAUGUUCCAGAUGAGACCGCUGCAGGAGAGAGCGGCAGUGUCUGGGUCCGGCCCACGUCUCACAGCUGGAAACAAGGGAGGAUCUUAUCUCUGCUCCUCUGAUUUGGCCUCGAGUUCGAUGCAAUGUGGAACAUGAGCCUCCCAGCCUAUCCACCGGCUCCCCAGAGGCCACCUCGACCUUGCCCACUUGGCUUUCUUUCAUUUUCCUCUGCCACCGCCAGGUCACUACCCCUAACAGGUGUGACUUCGUAGAGGCUACGACAGAUGGCCUUGGCUUGAAUUCUGAUUCCAGCACUUAAUAGCUGUGUGAUCUUCAGUGUAUUAUUUAACUUCUCUGUGCCUGAAUUUUUCUUCAGUAAAAUGCACAUUCAGUAGUAUCUAGUUCCCGAGGUGUGGAUGAUAAAAAAUCCUCAUAAAGUACUUAUCCCCAUGCCUGGGCCCUGGUGGCUGGUCAGCAGCAGACCCAGGCUACCCCUUGGUCCCGUGUCCCAUGCUUUCUCCCCACCCAGGCCCUCAUUCCCGAGUCUGCCUCACAGAGUAAGACACUCAGCCAUGUGAGUUGGUUGCACAUUAUAAAAGCAGUUGUCAAGACUUCUUUCUUGAGUUUUUUUGUUUUCACGUGAUGUUAGGUGGCAUUUGCUUCAUUUCACAAAGAAAAACCCACAAGAAUGUGGAAGCCUGUCUAUUGACAAAAUCAACUGAUUUGAUAAAUUAGUUAUCAACCAAAGAAUAAUUAUGUAUAAGUAAUAAUAAUAAUACAUCAUUGUCCAGAACUCCAAAUGUAGAAAUAAUUUUAAAAUGUUAGAUUUUUAAUGUUUUACUGAUUCUAAUAGCGUAAAAAAUAAUAAAGAUCAAUUAAUUUUGUA
rnacentral:lncRNA from 1 species